UACGAAGGGGGCUAGCGUUGCUCGGAAUUACUGGGCGUAAAGCGCACGUAGGCGGGUUCUUAAGUCGGUGGUGAAAUCCUGGAGCUCAACUCCAGAACUGCCUUCGAUACUGGAAGACUCGAGUCCGGGAGAGGUGAGUGGAACUGCGAGUGUAGAGGUGAAAUUCGUAGAUAUUCGCAAGAACACCAGUGGCGAAGGCGGCUCACUGGCCCGGUACUGACGCUGAGGUGCGAAAGCGUGGGGAGCAAACAGG
rnacentral:rRNA from 1 species